rnacentral:rRNA from 1 species
AUUGAACGCUGGCGGCAGGCCUAACACAUGCCAGUCGAGCGAGCGGCGGACGGGUGAGUAAUGUAUGGGGACUGCCCGCUAGAGGGGGAUAACUACUGGAAACGGUAGCUAAUCCCGCAUACUAUCGGAUAACCCAUAUGGGAUUAGCUAGUAGGGGAGGUAAUGGCUCACCUAGACAACGCUCCCUAGCUGGUCUGAGAGGAUGAUCAGCCACACGUGGACUGAGACACGGCCCAGACUCCUACGGAGGCAGCAGUGGGGAAGAUUGAACAAUGGGCGAAAGCCUGAUGCAGCCAUGCCGCGUGUAUGAAGAAGGCCCUAGGGUUGUAAAGUACUUUCAGUCGGGAGGCGUUACCGACAGAAGAAGCACCGGCUAACUCCGUGCCAGCAGCAGCGGUAAUAC